AACGAACGCUGGCGGCAGGCCUAACACAUGCAAGUCGAACGCUGUAGCAAUACAGAGUGGCAGACGGGUGAGUAACACGUGGGAAUCUUCCUAUCGGUACGGAAUAGCUCAGGGAAACUUGGGGUAAUACCGCAUACGCCCUUCGGGGGAAAGAUUUAUCGCCGAUAGAUGAGCCCGCGUCUGAUUAGCUAGUUGGUGAGGUAAUGGCUCACCAAGGCGACGAUCAGUAGCUGGUCUGAGAGGAUGACCAGCCACACUGGGACUGAGACACGGCCCAGACUCCUACGGGAGGCAGCAGUGGGGAAUAUUGGACAAUGGGCGCAAGCCUGAUCCAGCCAUGCCGCGUGAGUGACGAAGGUCUUCGGAUUGUAAAGCUCUUUUGCCAGGGACGAUAAUGACGGUACCUGGAGAAUAAGCCCCGGCUAACUUCGUGCCAGCCGCCGCGGUAAGAC
rnacentral:rRNA from 1 species